GUCGGCGAGAAAACCGUCGGCUGCCCGCGAGAUCGUGGGUGGGGGCGAAAGAGCUAACUUUCUUUUAACGAUGGCCGGCGAAAGAGGGUGGACGAUGGACGAGAUGAGAUGUGUUCUUCCAGUUUCGAGAGACGAGUUCUAUGAAGAUUUUGCAUCAGGCCAUCUCCGACGGCACCACCAUCAAAACAGUUGACUCCACCUUAUAAACCACCAUCAAAACAAAUGUCAAAUAAGCCGGAAGAACACAUCUCGUAUUCGUACAUUGUCCACCCGGAGUUCCUCUGCCGGUAGUCGUUGAAGGAAAGGCUGCUCUUUCACCUCACCACCAUCUCGCGCCUUUGUUGACUAGUUCUUGUCUUUUGUCCAGAGUCUAAGAACCGGUGCUGGCCUUUCGAUCCACGCGCGACAGGGAAGGGUGUGCCGAUGACCUAGUUGUCGAGGUAGUCGACCACAGUUCCUCUUGUAGCCUCUUGGAACGAGGUCGACGGACUCCAUGAGCGACGGUUGUUUCUUGAAGAGGAUAAGAGAGGAAAUGAACGAAGAGGAGGAGAAGGGAGCAGAGAGGCUAGGGGCGAGAAGACAAAGUGCCUUCAUCGUCUUUGAAUCCCAUCGCCCCGUUCGGUCUUGCUCGACUCGGAAACAAAGAUGGAGAUAUCUGCGCUGGUGUUGGCUUGUGGCUUGAGGGUGGGAGCUGAUGAAAGGUACAAGAUUUGGUGUUGUAUUGGCAAUCCGUUGGCAUUGCAUUAUGCUUCCGAGGCUAAGUGCUUCACAGUGCCGUCUUCAGCAGAGGGCUGGAGCUGAUGGAACCAAUAAUAGGUCCCUGUAUGUCAUCAAGGUCGGACCUGUCCACAAUGCCAAGUGCUUUCUUUUCGAUUCUUACCACACCAUCGCUUUGAGAACAUAGUGCUGCAACACCCAUAUAGCCGAAUACUUACAAGCAGACAGCUAGAGUGGCCCUCUGUGCAUCUUCACUGUAGUGCCAGAUUUAUUUUGCUGGAGCAUUGUUGGGAACUAGCUUAUUAAGUAAAUGUUUUUAUUUCUUUAGAUUAUUAGUUAUAAAAUUCAUCAUGGCAAUCAGAGUUCUGCAUUCGCUAUCUCCCUCACCUCACAACAUGGAACUUGUGGUUCGUUUUAACAUUUCCUUCAGUGAUGUACUUCCAUGUGAUGACAUGAAUUUAUGCAUCUUCUUUCAGGUUGAGAGAUCAUUUGACUUAUCCAGGGUUCGUAAAUGUUUUUUUUUUCUCGACUUGAUUAAAAACAUGUAUAUUUAUUCUGUGGGUUAUGGAUGUAUUUUAAAGAUUUUCUGGUGAACUAGACCUAAAGUUGUCUGUCUUUGAGAAGUCACUUGUAUGAAUUCAUGCCUUCUUGUUCAUUAUUGAGGAUCAAAAUUUUCAAUGGCCGAGUCUUUGAGAA